rnacentral:rRNA from 2 species
AGCCUGAUGCAGCCAUGCCGCGUGUAUGAAGAAGGCCUUCGGGUUGUAAAGUACUUUCAGCAGUGAGGAAGGUGGUAGUGUUAAUAGCACUAUCAUUUGACGUUAGCUGCAGAAGAAGCACCGGCUAACUCCGUGCCAGCAGCCGCGGUAAUACGGAGGGUGCGAGCGUUAAUCGGAAUUACUGGGCGUAAAGCGCAUGCAGGUGGUUUGUUAAGUCAGAUGUGAAAGCCCGGGGCUCAACCUCGGAAUAGCAUUUGAAACUGGCAGACUAGAGUACUGUAGAGGGGGGUAGAAUUUCAGGUGUAGCGGUGAAAUGCGUAGAGAUCUGAAGGAAUACCGGUGGCGAAGGCGGCCCCCUGGACAGAUACUGACACUCAGAUGCGAAAGCGUGGGGAGCAAACAGGAUUAGAUACCCUGGUAGUCCACGCCGUAAACGAUGUCUACUUGGAGGUUGUGGCCUUGAGCCGU